CUGGCGGCGUGCCUAACACAUGCAAGUCGAACGAGGUCCAAGGAAGCUUGCUUCCUGAAGACCUAGUGGCGAACGGGUGAGUAACACGUGAGAAACCUGCCUCGGAGUGGGGAAUAACCCGGGGAAACUCGAGCUAAUACCGCAUACCUUCACAUGAUCGCAUGGUCGAGUGAAGAAGGAAUUUCGCUCUGAGAGGGUCUCGCGGCCUAUCAGCUUGUUGGUGGGUAACGGCCUACCAAGGCAACGACGGGUAGCUGGUUUGAGAGAACGAUCAGCCACACUGGGACUGAGACACGGCCCAGACUCCUACGGGAGGCAGCAGUGGGGAAUCUUGCGCAAUGGGCGAAAGCCUGACGCAGCAACGCCGCGUGCGGGAUGACGGCCUUCGUGGUUGUAAACCGCUUUCAGCAGGGACGAAAAUGACGGUACCUGCAGAAGAAGCCCCGGCUAACUACGUG
rnacentral:rRNA from 1 species